AAAACUCCAGAAACAAACUCGCCAACAAAGUUUUAAGUUGACAAGCAGGUAUUCUUAAUUGCGGUGCCGGGAGACACAGGGGAUAUCUCCUCCUAAUGUGUCUCGUUUAAGCAUCAAACAGACCGGGAUUAUAUUGUUGCUUAACGUACAUAUUCAUUACAUUUCCGGUAAACGUCAUAC